rnacentral:rRNA from 1 species
AGACCCGAAACCCGGUGAUCUAGCCAUGGGCAGGUUGAAGGUUGGGUAACACUAACUGGAGGACCGAACCGACUAAUGUUGAAAAAUUAGCGGAUGACCUGUGGCUGGGGGUGAAAGGCCAAUCAAACCGGGAGAUAGCUGGUUCUCCCCGAAAGCUAUUUAGGUAGCGCCUCGUGAAUUCAUCUCCGGGGGUAGAGCACUGUUUCGGCUAGGGGGCCAUCCCGGCUUACCAACCCGAUGCAAACUGCGAAUACCGGAGAAUGUUAUCACGGGAGACACACGGCGGGUGCUAACGUCCGUCGUGAAGAGGGAAACAACCCAGACCGCCAGCUAAGGUCCCAAAGUCAUGGUUAAGUGGGAAACGAUGUGGGAAGGCCCAGACAGCCAGGAUGUUGGCUUAGAAGCAGCCAUCAUUUAAAGAAAGCGUAAUAGCUCACUGGUCGAGUCGGCCUGCGCGGAAGAUGUAACGGGGCUAAACCAUGCACCGAAGCUGCGGCAGCGACGCUGAUGCGUUGUUGGGUAGGGGAGCGUUCUGUAAGCCUGUGAAGGUGGCCUGUGAGGGUUGCUGGAGGUAUCAGAAGUGCGAAUGCUGACAUAAGUAACGAUAAAGCGGGUGAAAAGCCCGCUCGCCGGAAGACCAAGGGUUCCUGUCCAACGUUAAUCGGGGCAGGGUGAGUCGACCCCUAAGGCGAGGCCGAAAGGCGUAGUCGAUGGGAAACGGGUUAAUAUUCCCGUACUUGGUGUUACUGCGAAGGGGGGACGGAGAAGGCUAUGUUGGCCGGGCGACGGUUGUCCCGGUUUAAGCGUGUAGGUGUGUGUUCCAGGUAAAUCCGGUUCACUUUAACACUGAGGCGUGAUGACGAGGCACUACGGUGCUGAAGCAACAAAUGCCCUGCUUCCAGGAAAAGCCUCUAAGCAUCAGGUAACAUCAAAUCGUACCCCAAACCGACACAGGUGGUCAGGUAGAGAAUACCAAGGCGCUUGAGAGAACUCGGGUGAAGGAACUAGGCAAAAUGGUGCCGUAACUUCGGGAGAAGGCACGCUGACAUGUAGGUGAAGUGAUUUACUCAUGGAGCUGAAGUCAGUCGAAGAUACCAGCUGGCUGCAACUGUUUAUUAAAAACACAGCACUGUGCAAACACGAAAGUGGACGUAUACGGUGUGACGCCUGCCCGGUGCCGGAAGGUUAAUUGAUGGGGUCAGCGCAAGCGAAGCUCCUGAUCGAAGCCCCGGUAAACGGCGGCCGUAACUAUAACGGUCCUAAGGUAGCGAAAUUCCUUGUCGGGUAAGUUCCGACCUGCACGAAUGGCGUAAUGAUGGCCAGGCUGUCUCCACCCGAGACUCAGUGAAAUUGAACUCGCUGUGAAGAUGCAGUGUACCCGCGGCAAGACGGAAAGACCCCGUGAACCUUUACUAUAGCUUGACACUGAACAUUGAGCCUUGAUGUGUAGGAUAGGUGGGAGGCUUUGAAGUGUGGACGCCAGUCUGCAUGGAGCCGACCUUGAAAUACCACCCUUUAAUGUUUGAUGUUCUAACGUGGACCCGU